rnacentral:rRNA from 1 species
AAAGGUAGCAUAAUCCCAUGCCUUUUAAUUGAAGGCUAGUAUGAAUGGAUCCACGAGCGAUUUAUUGUCUCAGAAUUAUAUAUAUAAAUUAGCCUCCUUGUGAAGAGACAAAGAUAUAAGUAAAAGACAAGAAGACCCUGUUGAGUUUAACUCUACAUCUUAAACCUCAAGCCUAAAUGACUUGUACCUAUAGUAACAGAGUUUGAUUGGGGCAAUCAAUGACUAACGCCACCGUCAUCAAAAACACAGAACCAAUUCGCCUAAUUAUCCACUCAAGUGAAUUAGAAAUAACAUUACCACAGGGAUAACAGACCAAUCUCCUUGACGAGCCCAAAUCUUAAAGGAGGAGUGGCACCUCGAUGUUGGCUUAGGUAAACUCUCUGGUGCAGCAAUUAGAAGAGUUGGUUUGUUCAACCAUUAAAUACCUACGUGAUCUGAG